rnacentral:rRNA from 1 species
AUUGAACGCUGGCGGCAGGCUUAACACAUGCAAGUCGAGCGGAGUGAUGGUGCUUGCACUAUCACUUAGCGGCGGACGGGUGAGUAAUGCUUAGGAAUCUGCCUAUUAGUGGGGGACAACAUCUCGAAAGGGAUGCUAAUACCGCAUACGUCCUUCGGGAGAAAGCAGGGGAUCACUUGUGACCUUGCGCUAAUAGAUGAGCCUAAGUCGGAUUAGCUAGUUGGUGGGGUAAAGGCCUACCAAGGCGACAAUCUGUAGCGGGUCUGAGAGGAUGAUCCGGCACACUGGGACUGAGACACGGCCCAGACUCCUACGGGAGGCAGCAGUGGGGAAUAUUGGACAAUGGGGGAAACCCUGAUCCAGCCAUGCCGCGUGUGUGAAGAAGGCCUUAUGGUUGUAAAACACUUUAAGCGAGGAGGAGGCUCUUUUGGUUAAUACCCAAGAUGAGUGGACGUUACUCGCAGAAUAAGCACCGGCUAACUCUGUGCCAGCAGCCGCGGUAA